rnacentral:rRNA from 1 species
UAACUGGAGAGUUUGAUCCUGGCUCAGAACGAACGCUGGCGGUGUGCUUAACACAUGCAAGUCGAACGAGAAAGUUUCCUUCGGGGAACUAGUAAAGUGGCGCAAGGGUGAGUAACACGUGAAUAAUCUGCCCUCGAGACUGGGAUAACCUGGGGAAACUUAGGCUAAUACCGGAUAAGACCACGUUUCAUAUGGGAUGUGGGAAAAGGAGUCUCAAUCUUCACUCGAGGAUGAGUUCGCGGACCAUUAGCUUGUUGGUGAGAUAAAAGCUCACCAAGGCAACGAUGGUUAGCCGACCUGAGAGGGUGAUCGGCCACACUGGAACUGAGACACGGUCCAGACUCCUACGGGAGGCAGCAGUGGGGAAUAUUGCGCAAUGGGCGAAAGCCUGACGCAGCAACACCGUGUGAGCGAUGAAGGCCUUAGGGUUGUAAAGCUCUGUCAAAUGGGAAGAAUUAUGACGGUACCAUUAGAGGAAGCCCCGGCUAACUCCGUGCCAGCAGCCGCGGUAAUACGGAGGGGGCAAGCGUUGUUCGGAAUUAUUGGGCGUAAAGCGUAUGUAGGCGGCCGAGUAAGUCAG